GCUCAUAAAGGAAAUGUCCACAGCAGAGUAACUUAUCCAAUUCGGGGUAAUUAUUUAUUUCUUGGACACGAUGCUGCUCGACUGGCAGAGUUCCAGCAACUUAAUUAUUCUAAUAUUUUUGCAGAAGUACAGCCAAAGAUAUAUCCCUUUGAAACACUCUGGAAGCGUCACCAUGGUCAUUCUGAGGGAAACCUCGAAGCAAGUGGUCGUGGUAGAAUUGACAAUGCCUUGGGGAAGACAUUGAGGAGGUGUUUGAGGGUAAGAGAGCCUAAUACCAGGAGCUGGUAGAGCAUUGCCAGAGAUGGGUGGAGGGAAUGAUGUGAGCCUAAAGGGGUGGGGUGUUGAGGUUUUUCUGGUUGCUCCCCGUGCAGAACCUACUCUCUCCUUGGCAUUAUGGGGGCUGCAAAGAAUAGAGCCAUCAGGACCACCACAGAGGCUCCUGAGCUAGCCUCCAGAGGGCUAUGGAGCAAGAGGUGUGAGCCGUGGACCAGUGCUGAUCAACCCUGUCUGGGUCUUCUGGGGGAGGAUGUCUGAUGUCUAAGACCUGAAACACCUGAUGACCCCAGGUUAUAUCACUGAUGGUGUGUCCCUGUGCAUCCUAGGAUGUAUCUCCACAUAGAAUGAUGGGUUUAGUAUAAAUUGGUUAAAAAAAAAUUGCCAUUCAGAGUUUGCCUGGAGAAAAUGAAAUCCUAUAUUUUAGGAACCUGAUUACAUUCACAUGGAAUAUGGCAGUUAAAACCAGAACCAGUCAGCUUCAUCUUGGGUACUAGCCUACAAAGUACCCAGGACAUCUUCAAGGAGACGUGUCUCAGAAGGGCAGAGUUCAUUAUUAAGGAUCUCCAGCACCCAGGGCAUGCCCUAUUCUCACUAUUAUCAUCAGGUAGAAGGUACAGAAGCUGGAAGGCACACACUCAGUGAUUCAGGAACAGCUUCUUCCCCUCUGCUAUCCAAUUCUUAAAUGGACAUUGAACCCGUGAAUACUACCUCAUUUUUGUAAUAUAUAUUUGUUUUUGCAUGAUUUUUAAUCUAGUCAAUGUACAUAUACUGCAAUUUAUUAGUUUAUUGUAUAUUAUGUAUUGCAUUCAAUGCCUGCUGCUAAAUUAAUACAUUUCACGACACAUGCCAAUGAUAAUAAACCUGAUUCUGAUGUCCAUGAUCUCUUCAGCUAUCUCUUUCAGAACUCUGGGAUGUACACCAUCUGGUCCAGGAGUCUUAUCUACUUUCAGAUCAUUCAGUUUCCCAAGAACCUUCUCUCUAGUAAUUGUAACUUCAGAUACAUAUUUACCAUUUUCAAUUUUGUUGCACCGUGUUCAACCUUUCGAUUUCUAACUUUGAGGUGUUACCAACAUCUGCUUCCUCAAUCUCUCCACUAACUAUUCUGGCACUCUAGUUUAAACCCCCACCAAGCAGAAUUAGCAAAACAUCCUGCUAGGAUAUUAGUCCCCCUUCAGUAUAGUCCCUUCUGUUAUGCUCUCCCUCCUACACCAACUCUUUAGCUACAUAUUAAACUAACCUCACUAGCAUAUGGCAUGGGUAGCAAUCUUGAGAUCAUAACCUGGAGGUCUUGCCCUUUGACUUAGCACCCAACUCCCUAUGCAGAACCUCCUCACUCUUCCUACCAAUGUCAGUAGUACCUACAUGGAACAUGACUUCUGGCUGUUCACCUUCCCACUUAAUGCUGAGAACUCGAUCCAAGCUAUCCUAGACCCUGGCACCUGGUAGGCAGCAUCCCAUUCAGGAAACUUGUUCUCGCUCACAACCUUCUGUCUGUUCCCCUAACUAAUGAAUCCUCUAUCACCAUAAUGUGCCUCUUCCUUCUUCCUGAGUCACAGAGGCAGACUCAGUGCCAGAGACCCAACCACUGUGACUUUCCUGUGUUAGGCCAUCCACCCCCCCAAUGACAGUAUCGAAAGUGAUAUACCUGUUGAGAUGGAUGGCCACAGGCACUGGCUCUUCAACCCCUUUCCCCUUGUCACCCAGUUUCCUGUGUCCUGCACCUUGGGUGUGACUACCUCUCUAUACAUCAUAUCCAUCACUCUUUCAGCCUCUAAGGAUAAUCCAGAAUUCAUUCAGUUCCAGCUCCAACUCCUUAACGUGGUUUGUUAGAAACUGCAGCUUGUAUAGAGCAUGCUGACUAGUGACGAGGUCCCAAUGGUGACAGGUACUCAUUAGUUUCACAGCCUUAAGGGGGAAAAAAACUGUUCCUUUACAGUCAGGCAGUUCUAGUUCUGAUGUUUCACCCUUCAUCAGGACUAGAAAGUGUAGGAGGUGGGGUGGAAGAACCCAGAAUAAGAUGGGGAGAGCAAAGUUGGCAGGUGUUUGGUGAACCUAGGUGAAGGGUAAGGUAGGUGGGAGGUGACAAGGCAGUGAGCUACUCUACCACCUAUCAGAUUCAUUUUAAUUUAAGCUCUUUACCUGGACAAAUGCUGGCUUCAUUUUUAAAAAAAUACUUAUUCUGAAAUGCAUUUUAAGCAUGAUAGAAAUACAAGUCCUGACAAUUCAUACAAUGAAAUAAACAAGGACAGUGGUUCCCAACCUUUUUCAUGCCAUGGACCAAUACCAUUAAGCAAGGCAUCUGUGGACCCCAAAGUGGGAACCCCUGCACUAGGAACUCAGGAGAUGCAUUAAAUUGCACAGUAAGAUUAAUUUGCAAGUCUACUACCUAAAAAUAUGUUACAGAAAUUAUGUUCAGGGAUGGUUGAUUAUCAGAUAUUUGAAAACCCAUUCUGGCCACAUAGAAUGGGGAGAAGCAGUAAAGAAUGAAUUAUCUUUAUUCUGAUGUUUUUUUCCACAUUUCAAGAAUGAGUUAAUACAACAUUGCUCCAACAAUUGAAAUAGUGAGAAAAGUUUGUGAAGGAGUGAUCUUUUCCAUUGGCAUCAACUUCAAAACUUAAGUUUAUUGUCAUUUCAACUAUAUACACGUGUACUGUUUGUCUAGACCAGGGGUCAGCAACCUUUACCACUGAAAGAGCCACUUGGACCCGUUUCCCACAGAAAAGAAAACACUGGGAGCCGCAAAACCCGUUUGACAUUUAAAAUGAAAUAACACUGCAUACAACGUUUUGUUUUGCCUUUAUGCUAUGUAUAAACAAACUAUAAUGUGUUGCAUUUAUGAAAUUGAUGAGCUCCUGCAGAGAAAACGAAAUUACAUUUCUGCAUGCAACAAAAACAUUUUGAACUCCGAAAAUAAGAUGUUGGGUUGAAGGUUACUUUUAAGUAAAAUACUCAACGUCUAUUUGAGUCCUUCUUGUGUUUAUGAAAAACGCUAAACUUAAAUUUGCCGCCA